UUUGAAAUCUGGCUCCUUUGGGGUCCGAGUUGUAAUUUGCAGAGGGAGCUUUUGGCGUCGGUCGUGGUCUAAGUUCCUUGGAACAGGACGUCACAGAGGGUGAGAAUCCCGUACGUGGCCGCCGGCCUUCGCCUUGUAAAGCCCCUUCGACGAGUCGAGUUGUUUGGGAAUGCAGCUCUAAAUGGGAGGUAAAUUUCUUCUAAAGCUAAAUACCCGCCAGAGACCGAUAGCGCACAAGUAGAGUGAUCGAAAGAUGAAAAGCACUUUGGAAAGAGAGUGAAAAAGCACGUGAAAUUGUUGAAAGGGAAGCGCUUGCGGCCAGACGUGCCCGCGGUUGAUCAUCCAGGCUCCAGCCUGGUGCACUCCUCCGCGGGCAGGCCAGCAUCAGUUCGGGCGGUCGGAUAAAGGCCUCUAUCACGUACCACCCCUCGGGGUGGCCUUAUAGGGGAGGCGCAACACGGCCAGCCCGGACUGAGGUUCCGCGCAUCUGCUAGGAUGCUGGCGUAAUGGCAGCAAGCGGCCCGUCUUGAAACACGGACCAAGGAGUCUAACAUCUAUGCGAGUGUUUGGGUGUCAAGCCCGAGCGCGCAAUGAAAGUGAACGGAGGUGGGAACCCUUACCGGUGCACCAUCGACCGAUCCUGAUGUCUUCGGAUGGAUUUGAGUAAGAGCAUAGCUGUUGGGACCCGAAAGAUGGUGAACUAUGCCUGAAUAGGGUGAAGCCAGAGGAAACUCUGGUGGAGGCUCGCAGCGGUUCUGACGUGCAAAUCGAUCGUCAAAUUUGGGCAUAGGGGCGAAAGACUAAUCGAACCAUCUAGUAGCUGGUUCCUGCCGAAGUUCCCUC
rnacentral:rRNA from 2 species